AGCGAACGCUGGCGGCAGGCCUAACACAUGCAAGUCGAACGAUCCUUUCGGGUUUAUUUGCGGACGGGUGAGUAACCCGUGGGAACGUGCCUUUAGGUUCGGUAUACCUCAGGGAAACUUGUGCUAAUACCGAAUGUGUCCUUCUGGGGCAUGAUUACUUUCCUUUAGAGCGGUCCGCUUCUGAUUAGCUAGUUGGUUGAGGUAAUGGCUCACCAAGGCGUAGAGCAGUAGCUGGUCUGAGAGGAUGCUCAGACACAUUGGGACUGAGACACGGACCAAACUCCUACGGGAGGAAGAAGGGGGGAAUCAUGCGCAAUGGGCGAGAGACGGACGCAGCCAUGCCGCGUGAAUGAUGAAGGUGUUAGGAUUGUAAGAUUCUUUCGCCGGGGACGAUAAUGACGGUACCCGGAGAAGAAGCCCCGGCUAACUACGUG
rnacentral:rRNA from 1 species